rnacentral:piRNA from 1 species
UCUCCAAUUACGGAGAACCAAUCUCCAG